AGAGCCCGCGGCGCGCUCAGGACGUAUCAACGCUAUGUGGGUCGUGUGCGUGCAAGGGGGGCGACGUAAGGGCGCUCCGCGAGCCCGUCUCUCCUCGAAUGAAAGGAAACAACCUCCGGCGACAGAUCUCUGCUCUCAGGCACUGCCGGAGAACAGAGACCGACUUCUUUCUCUUUCCCCUCAUUGGCGCUUUUCUCCUGCCGUCCGCCUCCGGGUCCCGCUGCAUUUCUUGAGGCUUAAAGUGGCAUUCUAAAGGCAAUUUAAAAAUCAUGUCAAGCUCAAUUGAACAGAAAAAAGGGCCUACAAGACAGCGCAAAUGUGGCUUUUGUAAGUCAAAUAGAGACAAGGAAUGCGGACAGUUGCUAGUAUCUGAAAACCAGAAGGUGGCAGCACACCAUAAGUGCAUGCUCUUUUCAUCUGCUUUGGUAUCAUCACACUCUGAUAAUGAAAGUCUUGGUGGAUUUUCUAUUGAAGAUGUCCAAAAGGAAAUUAAAAGAGGCACGAAGCUGAUGUGUUCUUUGUGCCAUUGUCCUGGAGCAACAAUUGGUUGUGAUGUGAAAACAUGUCACAGGACAUACCACUACCACUGUGCAUUGCAUGAUAAAGCUCAAAUCCGAGAGAAACCUUCACAAGGAAUUUACAUGGUUUAUUGUCGAAAACACAAGAAAACUGCACAUAACUCUGAAGCUGAUUUAGAAGAAAGUUUUAAUGAACAUGAACUGGAGCCCUCAUCCCCAAAAAGUAAAAAGAAAAGUCGCAAAGGAAGACCAAGGAAAACUAAUUUUAAAGGGUUGUCUGAAGACACCAGGUCCACGUCCUCCCAUGGAACAGAUGAAAUGGAAAGUAGUUCCUAUAGAGAUAGGUCUCCACACAGAAGUAGCCCUAGUGACACCAGGCCUAAAUGUGGAUUUUGUCAUGUAGGGGAGGAAGAAAAUGAAGCAAGAGGAAAAUUGCAUAUAUUUAAUGCCAAGAAGGCAGCUGCACAUUAUAAGUGCAUGUUGUUCUCUUCUGGCACUGUCCAGCUCACAACAACAUCGAGAGCAGAGUUUGGAGAUUUCGAUAUUAAAACUGUCCUUCAGGAGAUUAAGCGAGGAAAAAAGGAUGAAAUGUACACUUUGCAGUCAGCCUGGUGCUACUAUUGGAUGUGAAAUCAAAGCCUGUGUUAAAACCUACCAUUACCACUGUGGAGUACAAGACAAAGCUAAAUACAUUGAGAAUAUGUCACGAGGAAUUUACAAACUAUAUUGUAAAAAUCAUAGUGGAAAUGAUGAGAGAGAUGAAGAAGAUGAGGAACGAGAGAGUAAAAGCCGGGGAAAAGUAGAAAUUGAUCAGCAACAACUAACUCAGCAGCAACUUAAUGGAAACUAGGUUCAUGGGACAGAGUUAGAAAACUGGGAAUGAAUAAGACAUCUAUAACUACUAUUCUUUUUUCACUGUUUUCUAAAAUCAGAAAGGGUUUGUAACUUUUUACUGCCCAACUCUUAGAUCCUUCAUUGAACUGCCUAAAACGUCGUUUAUUUUAUGAGCCUUCACUAGACGCUGAGCUUGACAUGUUGAUAUUACAUAGCUGUAGUUUGCAGUUUCUGGGAAGCAGUUGAAACACUAUUAACCCUGUGUAUAGUGUCAACAGUUAAAGCAGACAUUGAAAUGAAGUAAGCUAUAUUUCUGGACUGAACAAAGUUCUACUGUUUAGAGUGUUUAAGUUUGUUUAGUGGAUUCAUGCUCAAGGGAAACCGUAAGCAAAUUUUACUUUACAAUACAAACAUGCCGCUGGUGGCGACACAUGAUAAUUUGUGGAUUGUUUUUUCACACUCAAGUGAUGGAGGCUAGAAAUGAAGAGGACCUUCUUUCUAUCUUGGCUUUGACAGCACAUGCUAAAAGUCUCUUCCAAGAAGUGUGCUGAAGCUUUUCUUUGGUUCCUGUUAAAGUUGUUCUCACUGACCAGCAUGGACUCGGGCAUCUGGUGAUUAUAAGCUAUGAGCUCCAGUGCUUAUGCCAAAUUCUCUUGACAAUACACCUCUUCUCUUUCCAUGUCAUACAAAGAGCUUCUGGCAAAAUGAUUGAAUCCUUUCAAGUUUAAACUAACAUUUGGCAACAGCAAAUUAAACCUCUUUCAGAUUAAAGGGGUUACCACUUGCUAAGGACUUUAAGACACCAUGUCUGAAACCUGUUCCUCUCAAGUGCCCUGUUGUGUGGAACACUUCACAUAUUGGCCCAAAGUAUGUAAGGAGGGCGUGUGUGCUGUAGGAGUAAAAAACAGUCUUUGCAUAAAACAGUAUUUAUUUUUAAUUUUGUGACCACUAUUUUAGAAACUUUAUUUAAUAUUUUCAAUGUUUUCAGUCAUUGCUUUGGUUAUAUGUAUUAAAUAGGCUUUUGUGCCCUGCUUUUCUUCUGGUAGGGCUUGGUAUUAUUUUAUUGAUCAUCACAAUUGUUUAUGAAAGCCUAAGAACCCAGCUUUUUAGAAAGGAUUUCCACACUGGCAUUUCUAGCUAGUGAUAUUUUCUUCCACUUAUCUGCUGAAGCACAUUUACAUAUUUCUUUAUUGCAAAGCCAAAAAAAAAAAAACUUUAGUUGUGGUCUGCCUAAUAUUACCAUAGCACCUCAGUACAAAGGGUAGGGAUCUGAUUUCUGAGUUAUUAGUUAACCUACCACAAUAAAGCAGAUUUGCAAGUGAGAAAUAACAUUAACUUGACUGUACAUUGAGAUCGUCUGCAGCUGACAGAACAGCGUUUUUUAAAUGUAACAGGUGGAAAAUUACACUGUGCUUAAUGAAUGAAUUUUUUAACUGCUAGUCCCUUAAGAUCAUGUUUGUUGAGUGUGUAUUAACACAUUUACUUAAAUCAAGGGACUCGAUGCUUGCUUUAUUUUAACUAUCUUUUAUUGUUAUUUUUAGAAGGAAACUAGCUUUAGUAGUGGAUCGAUCGCCCUGUAUGUCUUCUCUUUUUGCUCUUAAUAUGCCAUCAUGUGUAUGUAAUUAAUUUUCAAAAUUCAUCAUGACUUGAAGUGCAAGGACAGAUCUAAAUGUUUGUUUACCAAGCUAUGUGACUUUUCCCAAAGGAUCUGUACUUUAUUUCCUUACAACAGCUUGAAAAACAUUAUUUUUUAAAUCUUUAAAUCACUGUGUCUCAAUCACUUUUACAUUGUGUGCCAUAGAACUUACCCAUGAAGAAACAGAGCUCCUUCAUUUUUGGACAACUACUGUAAUGAAUUUUUUAGGAAAAAUGGAAGGUGCCAGGGGUAAUCAUGGCCAGUCAAUAAAAUAUUAUAGCUGUCAGUUGAUGAAUUUGUUAUGUAAUAAAAUGUAUGACUUUGUAUGGGUUUCUUCAGCCCUUUCUCUGCCACUAGCAACCGGAAUAGCACUUUACCUUUUGGUUUGCUAGAUAAGUGGCUGACUACCUGUUUUUCUCACUGUGGUGUGAUUGGCUAAAUAAUCCUUCAUUAAAAAUUGAAAUGUAAAUUGAAGUCACAUGAAAGUUCACCUUUGGUUGUAAACCUCCAAUAUUUUGAUUCUCAUUCUCUAUCUAUGUUUUCAUCACAUGCUGAGUAAAAAGUGCCUUACAAUGUAAAAAUUGUACAGUACUUAUGUUCCCAAGCAGCAUCAUCAUCUUCUGGGUAGAAUUACAUUGUGCUAUUAAUAGUUAGAGAAAUGGACCUCAGCAGUGUAUUUACUGUACAUCUCUUAAGUCCUUAACUGUAGUUUUAAUAAGCAUGACGUUAUUUGAUAAGUAUAUGACAUUUACAUCAUUUCCAAAAAUACUGCCAUUACUGUCUUUCAUGCAUAUUUUAGCCUGAAAUUUUGAAGCGUCUUUUCUUUCCUUUUUUCUUUCUUUUCCUUUUUUGUUUUUGUUUUCUUUUGUUAUUAUUAAUAUUAAACAGUGUAACCUUUGCAAGCGUAUAUUGAAGAUUAUUCUGGAGCAUUUAUUGCCUUACCAGAAAUGUUAGUAAGAAAUGUUCUUUAGAGUAGAAAGAUAGACCUGAGUUUCUUUACUUUAAUAAGAGCUCUUUGUUCCUUGGGGGGUGGGAGGGUGAAUUUUACUUUCAUCUCAAUAUAUUAAAAACCCACAACUCAAAUUUUAUUUCAAGGGUGAACAAUUUUAGAAUUUCAGAUAGUACUUGCUCAGAAGUACAUGCUACUCGAGAUAUUAACAGAAUAACAAGAUCUAUAGGUCUACUAUCGAAUCAGAAUCUAUGUACUUGAACAAAUGUGUGAAUCUCAAAUAUCUCAAAGCAAAAAGAAAAAGUAUUCUAGAGUGUUGUUGCUUUUUUAAAAAGCACUAAGGUUAGACCAAGGCAUAGUUUUGUUCUAACAGACAUUUAAGUUAAUUGUAAAGAUAAGGAAUGCAUCAUGGGUCAAAAAUCAAACAUUCCUCUCAUGUUAUGUAUAUUUUGUUCUUGUUAUAUUGGCUUUAUUUUCAGAACUGUAGUUUGUAGUAUUAGUUUCCUUUUAUUGGUAUUCUUGCAUAUACUAUUCAUUCAAUAAAUGAGUUAUGACUUUCAUA